rnacentral:rRNA from 1 species
GACGAACGCUGGCGGCGUGCUUAACACAUGCAAGUCGAACGCUGAAGCUUGGUGCUUGCACUGGGUGGAUGAGUGGCGAACGGGUGAGUAAUAAGUGAGUAACCUGCCCUUGACUCUGGGAUAAGCCUGGGAAACUGGGUCUAAUACUGGAUACGACAUGUCACCGCAUGGUGGUGUGUGGAAAGGGUUUUACUGGUUUUGGAUGGGCUCACGGCCUAUCAGCUUGUUGGUGGGGUAAUGGCUCACCAAGGCGACGACGGGUAGCCGGCCUGAGAGGGUGACCGGCCACACUGGGACUGAGACACGGCCCAGACUCCUACGGGAGGCAGCAGUGGGGAAUAUUGCACAAUGGGCGGAAGCCUGAUGCAGCGACGCCGCGUGAGGGAUGACGGCCUUCGGGUUGUAAACCUCUUUCAGCACGGAAGAAGCGAAAGUGACGGUACGUGCAGAAGAAGCACCGGCUAACUACGUG